rnacentral:misc_RNA from 1 species
CGAGCGUCAUUUAAACCAAUCUAGCCUCGUGCUAGGUAUUGGGCCUUUCGCCUCUGGGCGGGCCUCAAAAUCAGUGGCGGUGCCUCUGGCUCUAAGCGUAGUAAUACUUCCCGCUAUAGAUGUCAGCUGGUAUCUUGCCAGCAACCCCUAAACUUUCAAAGGUUGACCUCGGAUCAGGUAGGGAUACCCGCUGAACUUAA